rnacentral:ncRNA from 1 species
GGAGUUUGCAGCUUAAUUUGAUUAACGUGGGAAAACUCACCUGACCCGAGCAUUGUGAGGAUUGACAGAUUAAGAGCUCUUUUAUGAUUCGGUGGUUAAUGGUGCAUGGAUGUUUUCGAUGAAUAUACGAAUACGACAAAUUCUCUUUUCUUUUCUCAUUUUCACAUUGCAAAACAUUUGAGAAAGUGGUCGUACGAAUGAAAUAAUUGGUAAUUUAAACUUUCUUUAAAAAAAUGUAAUUCAAACUAUUCUAUGGCACACGGGAUCUGUGCAACAUUUAUGCCCC